CGAACUGAUUAGAAGCUUGCUUCUAUGACGUUAGCGGCGGACGGGUGAGUAACACGUGGGCAACCUGCCUGUAAGACUGGGAUAACUUCGGGAAACCGAAGCUAAUACCGGAUAGGAUCUUCUCCUUCAUGGGAGAUGAUUGAAAGAUGGUUUCGGCUAUCACUUACAGAUGGGCCCGCGGUGCAUUAGCUAGUUGGUGAGGUAACGGCUCACCAAGGCAACGAUGCAUAGCCGACCUGAGAGGGUGAUCGGCCACACUGGGACUGAGACACGGCCCAGACUCCUACGGGAGGCAGCAGUAGGGAAUCUUCCGCAAUGGACGAAAGUCUGACGGAGCAACGCCGCGUGAGUGAUGAAGGCUUUCGGGUCGUAAAACUCUGUUGUUAGGGAAGAACAAGUACGAGAGUAACUGCUCGUACCUUGACGGUACCUAACCAGAAAGCCACGGCUAACUACGUGCCAGCAGCCGCGGUAAUACGUAGGUGGCAAGCGUUAUCCGGAAUUAUUGGGCGUAAAGCGCGCGCAGGCGGUUUCUUAAGUCUGAUGUGAAAGCCCACGGCUCAACCGUGGAGGGUCAUUGGAAACUGGGGAACUUGAGUGCAGAAGAGAAAAGCGGAAUUCCACGUGUAGCGGUGAAAUGCGUAGAGAUGUGGAGGAACACCAGUGGCGAAGGCGGCUUUUUGGUC
rnacentral:rRNA from 1 species